GUGAAUCAUCAAAUUUUUGAACGCAAAUUGCACUCUCUUUGGAGAGUAUGCCUGUUUGAGGGUCAGUAAUAAUAAAAUCGGGGUGUUGCUCUUUUGUGACACAACGGAGUUUGGGCUACCUUUGACUUUCGGGUUUUAAGAGGCUUAAAAUUGACCUUAUUUGCGCAUUUUUAGACGUACAUAAAUUUUUUUUUUAUUCGUCUAUUCUUAAUGCCAAAAUCUUAUUAGAUGCGAUCACAUCGUGUGGUUUCGUGUCCAUAAAAUUUUCUUGAUUUGACCUCAAAUCAGGUAGGAGUAUCCG
rnacentral:misc_RNA from 1 species